GACGGGGGGGGCAAGUGUUCUUCGGAAUGACUGGGCGUAAAGGGCACGUAGGCGGUGAAUCGGGUUGAAAGUGAAAGUCGCCAAAAAAGUGGCGGAAUGCUCUCGAAACCAAUUCACUUGAGUGAGACAGAGGAGAGUGGAAUUUCGUGUGUAGGGGUGAAAUCCGUAAAUAUACGAAGGAACGCCAAAAGCGAAGGCAGCUCUCUGGGUCCCUACCGACGCUGGGGCGCGAAAGCAUGGGGAGCGAACAGG
rnacentral:rRNA from 1 species